AACCUAUGCUAAAAUCGUAAAUAUAUUGUUAAAUAUUGGUCAGCGUGUGAACAAAUUUCAGUUGACAGCUACAAACACAUUAUUUUUAAACUUUGGAGAAACUCGAGCUCAUACUCAAGCUCUUGACGUCAACAGUAAAGGGCAUUUCUCACCGAGACUACUCUCCAUCAACCCCCGUGAUUUAAUUUCCUUAAUGUGUGUUUUCUCAAAUUGGAUACGGUGAAUGACUUCCAUUUAAUCUAAAUGGUAAAAGCAUUAUGGGCGGUUUAAGAGAGUCUCCUCUCAGCGAAUGGACCGGGAUUCGAGGUGCGGGUGGAUGGAUGCUCUGAUUGUGUUUUAAUGGUGAAUUGCCCUGGGGAAUUUUUUUACCAUUGCUGUUACUGAGCAGAAAAUGUAUAAGAGGCUGACAUUUUUCAUCCUAACAUCCGUUUGUUAUUCGUUUAUAUUCAUAACAGCAAUUUUUCAGCCUUUCUUAUCCCUUGCCGUGGGUGUUAGUGUCAUAAAAAUGAAUGAAAUCUGUAGGACGGUGAGCGGUAAGAAAGCAGAUUUCUAUAGAGAUGUGUAGGUGGCUUGGACAGACAGACGGCCAUUAUUCACUUCAAAAGCAGCCUACGUAAUGACCCCGAGUGACCAGAUGACACCCUGUCUAGAAAUCUACAGCGCUCUGAUUAUGGGCCUGUGGGACACAAAAUAUCAAUCCCUGUCCAGUUCGCCCUCUGCGUCCAAUUCGAAUCAUCUAAUGACCUGCAGUAGUGGGACGAUUUCUUGGGUUGAUGAGGGGGUUACUGAAGGUGCGUAUGGUUUAAGUGAAUACAGACGCCAGCAACGUAUAACUGAAACCUCCUGCUGAUGUCUCAUCAUCUCAUGCCUAGAGCAAGUAAGGCGUCUGCUCGAGAAAAUGCUUCACUGAGAAAGCCAAACUGUGGGUAAGAACAACACAAACAAAAAAUGCAACUUUCUAAAAGUUUAUUUUUCCUGUGUUGUACAAAGUAUAACAUAAUGCUACAUUGUACAUAGUACCCACUUGUGAAACAAUGACGAGAGUUGUGUUUAUGUGUGUUUACCAGACCACCUGUUGCGAAGUAAAAGCCACAAAGCCGUACGGACAGGUAUUGACAGUAAGGCAACUGUUGAUGUAGACGACAUUGGACUUUUUAGGUAAACACGAAUUUAUUGUACGCGAAACGGUUUUCCAGCGGUGACUUGAGAGUUGCAAUCAUUUACGGCAAAUCUCGGCUUUCAAUUCAAGCUUCCAUAAUGGUGAGAAUCUAAUUAUGGGAAUGAUCCUUGUUUCCUAGAAUAUCAUGUUGAUUAAAGGUUGAAUAAUGACUCCUGGAGGGUGGGAGAACGUUGUUUUAAACCCACCUGUUGCAUGCCGAUACCUGAUACAAGUUCAGUCAAAUUACUUAGUAUGACUAGCAAUCAGAAGAUGUCACUAUUAGUGCGGUUUUUGUGUUUGGAGUUUAAAAUAGAAAUCUUAAUACAAACUCUAAACUUUAUGUAAAAUAUGGUUUCUUAUUUAUUGCUUUUGAUUUUAGAGGUGAAAUAUGACCUGGAAAUGUUGUGCCUAAGCCCACACAGAAUCUGCAAAUUUCACAUUUUUGGUUGUGCAUUUUUCAUAAUUGUGGCCAGAGAAAAAAAUUGGAAUUUUGUGGAAUGGUUUGAAUUUUGUAAAAUAUGUCAAACUGAGCUGAACAAACACACCAGGGUGCAAGCUUUGUAAAUAAUGGGUGAAUUUUGCAGAAAUCUGUGGGCAGUGAUUUCAUGCUGGCCUGGCAGUGCCCAAACAUCUUCAACAGUUUCCAUAUUCUCUAGAAAAGACAAUGAAUCACAGUCAGUCCUCCUGCCAAAUGACACCAUAAUUAAACUCACACCUGCUGAAACCAGAGAUCACGUCUCCUUCUCGUAAUCUCAUCUGAUCACCUCCACCUUGAGCUCGUUUCUGAACCACCAAUUACUUCAGUCCAAAGAUGGUGAAGCCACAGCCACGAUGGCACUGUUCUCCUGUAUGAGUGUAAUUGGGAUGCUGACUGCCAAAAACUGCAUUGUGGAUUCCAACCAACAGACAUAUUCCAAACUUAUUGCUCAAAACACUCUGUAACCAGUUUGGUGCAGAAUCCAAGACUGAAGAGGUUGUUUUAUACACUUCAGCUUGCUGCUAUCAGUGCACGUGAAAAAUCUGCCCACAGUACAAGAGAGGGAGAGACCGUGAGUUGGCAGACCUUCUCUAAUAAUACACCAUGUGUUGCCUCCAAGAUCUUUCUCUGAAUCCAGGCCAUGUCUCUGGUGUGAAGCCGACAUAUGCACCCCUGACCAGACCGGGGCAGAGUGCAUGCUGGGAGAUCAGUCCCAGAGCAGCAGGAGACUGAGAGUGAUGUAUUUAAACAGAGCAAAUAGAGACAUUUUUGUCAGGAGGAACAUCUGAGAAGCAAAGACAAAGACCCCUGUAAUCCCACGUGUGCCAUCUCGAGAUUCAGAAGAGAUUUCAGCAGUGUCCUAAAAGCAAUAAUGAACAACCUAGCAAUAAAUGUUUUCUCUUGUGUUUGACAAUGUCCAAAAAACCAUCAAUCUGACAUGCUGAGCAACCAGGAUCUAACCGCAUAAACCAUCAGAGAAGCUCAAUGUGUCUUAAGGGGGCACUGAAAUAUGUCUCUUAAUAAAAUGUGUCCUGUUUAUAGGCAUUUAAAGCUGAUUCCCAUGCAUGGCACGUCAGUCAAACCAGAUGUUGCAGAGCGAACACACAAGAUCUUUCUCCAUCAUUCCCCUGGGCCUCUGCCCUUCUCUAGAUCACACAAUAUAAGAAUCAGAUGCCAUUUAAAGACCCUGGCAGUGUUUUCUCAGGCCAGCAGGAGGGAAACGGCACGUAGCCCUCAAAUAAAAACACAGUAAACGGGCAAAGAUUGAUCCGACCCAUAUAAACAGCUUCAUGAAUAGACCAUAAGCAGUAACUGAAUUCACUUAGUUCUAUUUUAGUCAGGGACCUUCAUUUGUG